rnacentral:tRNA from 1 species
GCCUGGCUGGCUCAGUCAGUGGAGCAUGUGACUCUUGAUCUUGAGGUUGUGGGUUCAAGCCCCAUGUUGGGUG